rnacentral:rRNA from 1 species
AUUGAACGCUGGCGGUAUGCUUAACACAUGCAAGUCGAACGGUAGAUACUUCGGUAUCGAGAGUGGCGGACGGGUGAGUAACGCGUAGGAAUCUGCCUGUUAGUGGGGGACAACUUGGGGAAACUCAAGCUAAUACCGCAUACGCCCUACGGGGGAAAGGAGGGGACCUUCGGGCCUUUCGCUAACAGAUGAGCCUGCGUUGGAUUAGCUAGUUGGUAGGGUAAAAGCCUACCAAGGCGACGAUCCAUAGCUGGUCUGAGAGGACGAUCAGCCACACGGGGACUGAGACACGGCCCAGACUCCUACGGGAGGCAGCAGUGGGGAAUAUUGGACAAUGGGCGAAAGCCUGAUCCAGCAAUACCGCGUGUGUGAAGAAGGCCUUAGGGUUGUAAAGCACUUUCAAUAGGGAGGAAAAAGCAUAGGCUAAUAUCCUAUGUAUUGACAUUACCUAUACAAGAAGCACCGGCUAACUCCGUGCCAGCCGCCGCCGUAACAC